GAAAAGCGGUUGUGCGCUGCUCUUCAUCGGAGGUGGAAAACCAAAACUAAUAGAAGACACUUCUGAUCAGCACAAAUCUCACUGUGUGACUUAUUGACUACACAAAUAAUAUUUCAGAAA